rnacentral:lncRNA from 1 species
CAUUAGCCAUUUCCGUAGCUCCAGCACGGCCGAUACCAAGUCGUUUUAUUCGUCUUCGAAUUCGGGUUCCAGGACGCCCCCGCCUUAUGCACACACGCCUGCCAAAAGCUACAAGGAUUUUAGAAGCUAUUUAGACCAUAAACAGCAUCUGGCAGCAUCAUCUCAAACAAAGAACAAUAUUGGACAAACAAAAUCAACAGCUUUACAACAUGAUACAACAAAAGACUAUUCUUGGUUGGAUGAGAAACUCAAGUUCCUUGAUGACUACUCAGAAAAACAUCAUAACCUCGGUGCUCGCCAUCAGGAUAAAGCUAGGAAUCGAGCUGAUCGAUAUCUAGCAGAAGGGAAAGGUUUCAGGAAUUUCAAUGAGGUCGAUGAUGGUGCCGAUAGCGAUUCGAGCUCCGAUCUGUUCGAGCUCCAAAACUACGAUUUAGGUAUCUAUUCAGGUGGUUUACCUGUGUAUGAAACAACACAUAUGGACAGCAUCAAGAGAGGAGCACCAAUUUCCAAUGGUGCACUAUGAAACUAUACAUUUUCAACUUGUUGAUGAUGGGUUCCAUUUGUUUCCAUUGCCAUUGUAGGCAUUAGAUUUUGCUCGUCUUUUUUUUCUUCUUCCCUAUUGCUAGCUUCUUUGAAAGUUCGUUGAAUGCUUUUUCCCCUUUUUUUUAUUUUCUCUGUAUGUACAGUUUGGAAUGUUUAUUUGUCUUCACUUUCUGAAUCUUCUUUUCUUUCUUUGGAGCUAGCAUGGAUCAAGGCAAAAAGAAAACCAUUAAAGUAUCCCAUAACCAUUCUAGUGGUUCGCUUAGGUUGUGCCAUGAUUAAUGGCUCAAACAUCAGAAGAAAAGGCCAUCAUCACAUUGCAUUAUAUGGAUUAAUAUAUUCUAAUCUUUAACUUUUGGACCCUAAUCAAUCAUAGGUUAACACAUUAAUUAAUAUUUCCUACCUGUACGUGUGCUUCAUCUAAGCUUUUUCCUUCUCUCUUUCUUUUUUUUUUUUUUUUUGUUCCUUCCUAUACUACAUUUUUUUUCAUGGAAAACAAACAAAAAAUCUAUCUGCUGAUUUUAAAGGGUCCCUUCAUUUUUCAGCAAAUUCAAUGGAACUCACUUGAAAGCUACCAAGAAUUCAUAGAAAAAGGGGGGUAAAAUUGAUGUAUGAAUUUCAUAUCAUAACAAUACUGCAUUUCACCUAAACCCCGAAUAAUUAAGAUUUUGAUUAAAAGCCACACAAAGCUGCUGUCUAAUCAAACAACCAACAUAGAAAGGCAAGUAUUGUUUAUAUACUAACAUAUUUUUGUAGUUAAAGCAAAUGGACAAAAACCUUAACUACAUGAUCCAUAUAGAUAAGUUAUAUCCUAAAACAUAUCAUUGCUAAUUAUAUGAUCAUUCCAUAAAUCUUUGCAUACGCAAAUAGUUUUAUGCCUUUAAUUAUGCCGGACCGCAACAAGUGAGUUGACUUUAAACAUAAUCAAAUGAUGGAUUGGCGUAGUUAAAAGGGUAAUCUAAAAGUGAGUUUUGUGUUCAUUUGGAAACAAAAUAAAAGCCUAAAGCUACAUUGAUGAUGAAACCUAUUGUAGCCUUUAGUAAGUAUGAUGCUGAAAAUUUGAUGUACAAAGAGCACAAAAUAAAAAAGCCUAUAAGAAAGGGAAUGAUGCAUACCGAUAUGGUACAUUAGGCACCAUAAGGAUCUGCAGGAUGGGCCUGCCCUGUGAUUUUUUAUUCUUUUUUCAAAGUAAAUGUGAUUACCAUAUUUUGAUUGAAGAGAAAGAGGAGACAAAGACAAAAGGUAAGCUUUGCUUUUAGGCAAUGAAGAAUCAUUCUUUAAAAAAAAAAGAAAAAAAAGGCUGAUAUAACAAACCAACCAAGAGAAAAACGCAAUCGAAAACUGCUAUCGCUGCGAGAUUAACUCCAUUUAUCCUUCCUUUUCAAUCACCUAAAAAGUACCACCCGAGUGACCCGUCGCCAAGACGGUAUCGGACCUUAUUUCCGAGGCAUGAAAAGGGACUUAUCCAAAAUGGUUUAUGACCAAGUAUGAUUAUUAGAACAAUAACCAAAUUAUCCUGUAGAGAAAUCAUUAUGUUACAUGUUUAUCCUAAACAACAUAAUCAAGCAUCAUGUGUUGUGUAUUUCAUGAUAUAUUCUUUGGCUAAUGAUACAUGAAUUUUUUGGUUCAUACCUUUUUCAAUAGACAUAACAAUCAAUGUUGGCUUCUCAAGCAAGGAAUCAUCUUUACUCAUAGAUAUCAACGAAGCACUGAUUCUGCUUACAAAGUAGCUGAAACUGAAAUCAUAAAAAAGGAAUUGUUAGAGAAAGCAACAAAUACAAGUUGAAGCUUUUUUUGCUUC